AUUGAACGCUGGCGGCAGGCCUAACACAUGCAAGUCGAACGAGUGGCGGACGGGUGAGUAAUGUCUGGGAAACUGCCUGAUGGAGGGGGAUAACUACUGGAAACGGUAGCUAAUAACGCAUACCAUCAGAUGUGCCCAGAUGGGAUUAGCUAGUUGGUGGGGUAACGGCUAACCAAGGCGACGAUCCCUCGCUGGUCUGCGAGGAUGAACAGCCACACUGGAACUGAGACACGGGCCAGACUCCGACGGGAGGCAGCAGUGGGGAAUAUUGCACAAUGGGCGCAAGCCUGAUGCAGCCAUGCCGCGUGUAUGAAGAAGGCCUUCGGGUUGUAAAGUACUUUCAGCGAGGAGGCGUUACCCGCAGAAGAAGCACCGGCUAACUCCGUGCCAGCAGCCGCGGUAAUAC
rnacentral:rRNA from 1 species